ensembl:lncRNA
CUUGCACAGCACAAGAGGCAGAAAUUAACAAGUUACCUGAAGGCAGACUCCACACACACCACACCCCCAAAGAAAAUCAGAUGUUUGUUUUGGCUCCUCACUGAUUUAGUUACUGUGAAGAGACACUUCCGAACAUCACAGACACCAACAGCUUACUCGGAUCUCAACAGCCACCGGGCAAACUCCUCAGGGGUUACUAGGCAGAAAGACAUUCCCUUGACUCCGGCGGUCUCGGAAACUGCUGGAAAGCAGGAGCCUGUGGGACAGGAGCGUCACCCCGCCUUGCUCCGCGACUCCAGCCCAGGGCCGAGUGCUGGCACCUCACAGCGGCUCUUCAGAGCAGGAACGAAGGGUCUCCGUUUUCGGAGAAGAGGAAGGGGCGCGGUCCGUCCCCAGCUGCUCCUGCCCGCAGCCACGGCUACCUCACCUUCCCAAGGGACUUCGGGGACAUUCCCGCUGGGUUGUCAGCCUUUUGAGCCAUCCUUGUUCCGAAAUGGAGGAGUUUUGUCCAAAAUGGGCGUGGUGGUUGUGUAUGUGAGGGAGGAUGUGGAGAAAGGAGUUAAUCAUGGUAAAUUGUGACUGCAAAUAGCCAAACUGGAAUUACAGCUUUUAUCCUCAGAGGAAAGCCUGAGAGGUUCAUUUAUAAUUUCCUUUUCAGUUUGCUUUCUCACAGCACCUUUAUCUUUGGGGUUGGAUGAAAACACGCAAGGUCAUAAAAACAAUGUUGUAUUAGGAAAAUGUGUACUGAUUCCAUAUGACUUGAGGCAGCAUCAGAUGUCAGCUGGUCAGAAGCUGGCAUUUUCUUAAAGUCUGUCUGCAUAUCACAUGUUUUCUCUGCUCUGCAAUACCACUGGCAAGUAGCAAUUGCUGGGUUUAGAUCACAUGAAGCUUUGCCUCUGAAACAUAGAAAAAGAGUGUAUGAGCCAUGUGGACAUCAGAAAAAGACAUCCUUCUACAUGGGUCUCAAAGGGGUGCAAUGAAAUGCAAAUACAGUAUUAUCUCUUUAAUUCUCCAGCAAUAAGUGAUUUCCCAGGUGGAAUGUGUGGGAAAAUGACUGGGGGUAAAAUUAGAGAAAAACAGGGAGUUAUAUUCACAUUCUAACAGAAGUUAGUACAGAAAACAGAGGGUGAAGUGCAGUUGUGACUCUCUGGAUGGGAUGUGGUCAGCAUACCCAACUUCCCACACACAAUCCAUGUUAAAGGGGACUCAAGGGAGGGUGGAGCGGAAUGGAGACACCACGGCCAGGCUCUGUUGUAAUCCUGGCAAGAGUGGGAACUCAGUAGUGCAGAUAAACUGUUUAGCAGCUGAAAACCAAGGAGGAAAAGGAGAUGCCUGGCUGCUGAACCAGCUACCGCAGCAAGAUCACAAAUGCCCAUCUCCCUUCCAGAGGCUACCUCAGGUGUGACACUGACAUUACCCACCUGCAAGGUACAGCUACCCCACACUGAACAUGAUGUAUGACGAGAGUUACUCAAGGUAGUGCAAAAAUAGUAUAAAAUUAAGUUUAAAAUGGGGAGAAGUUAGGAAAGGUUUCACUGUAACUUCUGGGAUUGACUGACUGGUCAGGCUGAACCUGUCAAAACUAUAGUCUUAUGUAAGGUGAUUGUUUAUCUUGUUUGCUCUGAAUACAUUUUUGCAGCCAGAUACUAUCACCAGCAAUAUUUGCACCUCAAUCUGUCAGUUUUCUAUUACAUUAAUAAAAUAUUAUUAUUCUGUAAACUGUCCUUCA